UACGUAGGAGACGAGCGUUGUCCGGAUUUACUGGGCGUAAAGGGUGCGCAGGUGGCGGCGCGCGUGGGGGGUGAAAUCGCCCGGCUUAACUGGGCGGGGGCCUUCCAGACGGCGUGGCUUGAGCAGCGGAGGGGGACGUGGAAUUCCGGGUGGAGCGGUGAAAUGCGCAGAUAUCAGGAGGAACACCGGUGGCGAAGGCGGGUCUCUGGGCCGAUAUUGACGCUGAGGAGCGAAAGCGUGGGGAGCAAACAGG
rnacentral:rRNA from 1 species